CGCUCCGCACCCUCGUGCCCUCCUAGCUUUGGGGCCGUGCGCGCACCGCCCCCUAAACGAGGGGAAACGCUUGGAUUAAUCUAUCCAACUUUUACGGUAUUUGCAGUGCUCCGGCAGCCCUGCCGGUUUCCCCCCCGCACACCAGCAGAGUCUCGCUUCCCCGGGGUUCCGGAAGGGAAGGAGGCGUGUCCGGAGUAGGCGGGAGGGAGCCCUAUAAAGUGCUGGCGGCGCGCCGGCCCGGGGCUUCACUCUCCGCCUCGCGCCGGGACCUGGAGCGCCGCGCGAAGCUGAGGCCUUGGAGAGGGCGUUUGCGCUCGGGCUACCCAAUGCGUGGACUAUCUGCAGCCGCUGCUCAUGCAAUAUGCUGGAGCUCCAGAUCAGCUAAACGGAGUUGCCACACCGCUGCCUGGGCUGGAUCACAGCGCUGCCUUUCCUUAUGAAGAAGACACAAGACAUCUCUGAAGCCAAGGACCUUUCCAUUUUCAGUGCCUUGACUCAACUCCAGGACUGAAUCACAUCUCAUAAUUGGCCUAUUUCUUC
rnacentral:lncRNA from 1 species